ACGCCGAUGGUGAAACGGUUAUCAUGCUUGCCUUCCAUGAUUCAUUAGCAAGCGGUAGGGGUUCGACUCCCCUUCGGCGUA